AUUCUCGCUGCGAACACAAGACACUGUGUGGGUUUUCUCCGGGUACUUGAGUUUCCGGCCCACCAGGAAUGUGACAUGGACAGGGUGGAUUGGGAUUAGUUCCUUAUACUGACUUUUUCACCGUAACCACAGAAUAAGGCACACAGAAGGGCCCCCUGGUCGCCAUCUUGCUAGCCAGUCGAUUACAUUUUCUGGCCAGUAAACGCGCUGUAUUGGCUGAAGGCCCCGCCUUCUGGCCAGUCAACUGCAUAUUUUUGCAUAGAAAAAUGGUGACACGUUGCAACGCUGAGUGGCCCUUCUGGUACUGAUCUUUAUUCUGUGCCGUAACUGCGCUCCGUGAUCAGAUAGGAUUCAUGAAGUGGCAAAAUUUCCUUGGUUUACUAAAACACAACUUAACAUGCUCUUCCUUUUUGUUCCUUAACAUGUUGUUCUCUUUCUUUCUUUUUGUUCCCUAUUUAGGUUCUUAGAUCGGAUACUGAAUACGUAGACCCGAAAUACAAGGACUACAGCAACUACUACAGCUUGAGCGACCAUGACACUCGCACAUUGGUCGCUUAUUGUGAAGCACUUUCCCCUUCAUUCCUGAAAGACAAGUGUUUCUUUCGCAAUGAUGCAUAUUGUGCUGGAAAAGAUACCGCUUUCUCGAUAUUUCAUCAAAAGAAGUGACUUUUGCAGCCGUGGAAUCUGUUAUGGUCUUGGGAAGAAAGGCUUUUGUGACCAAGGUCAUGGUUUACUCCGGCUCGUGGAAAAGAAAAAAUUAUGAUAACCCGUUGUCCGAAGUGAAGAGAAGUUUCGCACCUUCGCCUGUCUACACCGCAAGACGCCGAAGCAGCAGCUGCAUUAUUAUAUAAACUACUGUUUCAUCGGAAAAACUUUAUGAAUGAUAUCAAGUAAUACAUAAAUGAUAACAUAAGCUGGAUUAAAACUAUAUAUAAUUAAUUAAAGAGUGAUUUUAUAUGAGAAAACUGUAGAUUGAUAGGGAUCCCA
rnacentral:lncRNA from 1 species